GUUCUCUAAAAUAUGUGAAAAUAUCCUGAAUGGAUUACUGAAAAAUCUUGCUUAUUCUUUGCUUCCAUGAAUUAUGCAUAGGGGACAGUUUUGGGUUAUGUGAUUUCUUUUUUAUGUUUCUGUUAUAUGAAUGUGACGUCACUUUGUAGAGGUUUACAAUAUCCUCGACUCUUACUUCUUGUUCCUUGGUUCUUUUUAUCCCUGUCAGUUGGGGUAUGAUGUUAUUUGUGUCUUUUUGAAGAGAACUUGUCUUUCCAGUUUACCUGAAAGACCUUUAAUGUACUUCCUCUCCUCGUUGAGUUGUGUAUGUGUGCAUAUUGGUGUGCCUAUUACUGGAUGUGGUGCAUGUAAUAGUGAUCUUAUGACACUUUGCCCUCUCCCUAAUCUGUUUUGCCCUGUACAUUGGAAGUGCUCUAGUGUAGUGGAGUAUUUCCUCACAAAGCUAUGAAGUCUUCCUUCAUAGAAAUAUUGAAGGAUGUUAGGAAAUAUUUAUCUUGACUGUCCACAUUUUUACCUACAUUAAUUGUUUCAACUAACACUCAUGAUAUGUCAAGGAAAAUUUAGAUUAGUGUUAGGGAUUGUAGUAAUAAUUUGCCAAAGAAAAGAUCAAACCUAUGCAGCUAAAGCAGUACUACUUUAAGGGAAGUGCAGUGCACAGGAAGCUGGAGACUCAAAUAACUGAUAUUCAUUCUAUUAGGGUAUUUCCUAAAUCUUUUAUUACAGUUAGAAACAAUUGAACCAUGGGAUAUGCAAAGAAAAGCUUAUCCGUUUAUUUAUUUAAUAUCUGAUGAUAAGGUAAGUGAAGAAAAGCUUCUCUAUAGUCAUCCUGCAGUGAACAUAAUAAAUUAUUUAAUACGUAAACAAAAGUUUCCUGUUAUUAGUCUAACUUUGAUAGUAUGGUGAACUCUUGUAACCUUUACAGACAUGGAGGAUAAGCAGAACAAAUUAAUAGCAAAAUAAUGGAGGUCAUUAACUUUGAAUUAAUAUUUUUUCCAGAAGAGUGUUUACUUUGGGUCAAGCAACAUGGACUUUUGCAAGUUAACAAAUUUGUUUCCUAAUCUUUCAUGGAAAAGGGACUUGCACUCGUAUAAAUAUUGGUUGAUCUUUUGGAAGCUUAAUAUGUACUUGUAAUGUGUAAAACAUUUGUACUAGACAACACCAACUUUGUGUAAUAUUAAUAAAUACUUCAUUUUAACCCAGAAAA